rnacentral:rRNA from 1 species
UACGGAGGGGGCUAGCGUUGCUCGGAAUUACUGGGCGUAAAGGGCGCGUAGGCGGACAGUUUAGUCAGAGGUGAAAGCCCAGGGCUCAACCUUGGAAUUGCCUUUGAUACUGGCUGUCUUGAGUUCGGGAGAGGUGAGUGGAAUGCCGAGUGUAGAGGUGAAAUGCGUAGAUAUCGGAAGGAACACCAGUGGCGAAAGCGGCUUCCUGGUCCAGCACCGACGUUCAGGCACGAAAGCGUGGGGAGCAAACAGG